rnacentral:rRNA from 1 species
UGGGGAAUUUUGGACAAUGGGCGAAAGCCUGAUCCAGCAAUGCCGCGUGUGUGAAGAAGGCCUUCGGGUUGUAAAGCACUUUUGUCCGGAAAGAAAUCCUCUGGGUUAAUACCUCGGGGGGAUGACGGUACCGGAAGAAUAAGCACCGGCUAACUACGUGCCAGCAGCCGCGGUAAUACGUAGGGUGCAAGCGUUAAUCGGAAUUACUGGGCGUAAAGCGUGCGCAGGCGGUUUUGUAAGACGGAUGUGAAAUCCCCGGGCUUAACCUGGGAACUGCAUUCGUGACUGCAAGGCUAGAGUAUGGCAGAGGGGGGUUAAAUUCCACGUGUAGCAGUGAAAUGCGUAGAGAUGUGGAGGAAUACCGAUGGCGAAGGCAGCCCCCUGGGCCAAUACUGACGCUCAUGCACGAAAGCGUGGGGAGCAAACAGGAUUAGAUACCCUGGUAGUCCACGCCCUAAACGAUGUCAACUAGUUGUUGGGGAUUCAUUUCCUUAGUAACGUAGCUAACGCGUGAAGUUGACCGCCUGGGGAGUACGGUCGCAAGAUUAAAACUCAAAUGAAUU